rnacentral:rRNA from 1 species
CGUGGGUAACCUGCCCAAGAGAUCGGGAUAACACCUGGAAACAGAUGCUAAUACCGGAUAAUAACAGAUGAUGCCUAUCAACUGUUUAAAAGACGGUUCUGCUAUCACUCUUGGAUGGACCUGCGGUGCAUUAGCUAGUUGGUAGGGUAACGGCCUACCAAGGCGAUGAUGCAUAGCCGAGUUGAGAGACUGAUCGGCCACAUUGGGACUGAGACACGGCCCAAACUCCUACGGGAGGCAGCAGGC